rnacentral:rRNA from 1 species
UACGGGGGGGGCAAGCGUUGUUCGGAAUUACUGGGCGUAAAGGGCUCGUAGGCGGCCAACUAAGUCAGACGUGAAAUCCCUCGGCUUAACCGGGGAACUGCGUCUGAUACUGGAUGGCUUGAAUCCGGGAGAGGGAUGCGGAAUUCCAGGUGUAGCGGUGAAAUGCGUAGAUAUCUGGAGGAACACCGGUGGCGAAGGCGGCAUCCUGGACCGGCAUUGACGCUGAGGAGCGAAAGCCAGGGGAGGCAAAACGGG